AGGUGUGAGAAAGACCUGGCUUUUGUAUUUGUUGCCUCAUUGAGUGCCAGGAUUGAUUUAGCCAAUCUGGUUGCCUACAUGGGUGUUCCCUUCUUCACCCACCACUCUGUGUGCAUCUGUCCCAGAGUGGUAAGCAACUGCCCCAGACAGGAGUGUACUGUCCUUUGGUCAAGGUUGUAGUAAAGCUGUGCUUUGCUGCUAGCAACUCCAAACAAGGUCAAAGUCCACUUAUAUGAGAAUGUUAACUCCACCUCACCUUCCAUUUG
rnacentral:snRNA from 1 species